UACGUAGGUGGCAAGCGUUGUCCGGAUUUACUGGGCGUAAAGAGCGCGCAGGCGGUCGUUCAAGUCGCGUGUGAAAGCCCCCGGCUCAACUGGGGAGGGUCACGCGAUACUGAUCGACUCGAAGGCAGGAGAGGGUAGUGGAAUUCCCGGUGUAGUGGUGAAAUGCGUAGAUAUCAAGAGGAACACCUGCGGCGAAGGCGGGUUGCUGGGCCGACACUGACGCUGAAGCGCGAAAGCUAGGGGAGCGAACGGG
rnacentral:rRNA from 1 species